UAGGGAAUAUUGGGCAAUGGGGGCAACCCUGACCCAGCGACGCCGCGUGGGGGAAGACGGCCUUCGGGUUGUAAACCUCUUUUGUACGGGAAGAAGGAAGUGACGGUACUGUACGAAUAAGUCCCGGCUAACUACGUG
rnacentral:rRNA from 1 species